rnacentral:tRNA from 1 species
GGCCCCUUCGUCUAGUGGUGAGGACAUUGGCCUUUCACGUCAAGAGCACGGGUUCGAGUCCCGUAGGGGUCA